rnacentral:lncRNA from 1 species
AUAUAUAUAUAUAUAUAUAUAGAACAAGACUGGAAUAGUAUUAAUAGCAUCUAUUAGAUUUUCGGUCUUUGAAUGAAAAAACGUACGGUUAUGAUGAUAUCGGCCCUCUAGGGUUGAGUGAAUUAUUUAUCGAAUAGUAUAUCUAACGGGUAAAAAUAGUCAAGGCGUUAAAGAUAACGGCGGAAAACUCGAUAGCACAAAGUACUUAAUACUAUCGAUAGUAUCCCAAUCGGACUAUAUAUAUAUAUUAUUCAUAGUUUAUAUAUUUUUUUAAAAAUUUGACCAUACAUAAUUUAUUUACACUAUCUAAAAAAAUAUUUGCAUUAAUUAAAAAAGUCAAACUAUUUGUUAUUUUAUAUUAUAUAUGUAUAAAAAUAAGUAAUAAGAACUAGAUUGGAAUACUAUUAAUAGCACCAAUAACUUAGUGCUAUUAAGUUUUCUAUAUUUGGAUUAAAAUAUGUGCGGUUAGGAUGAUGUGGGCUCCCUAGGGUUGAGUGGGUGGUUAGUUGAAUAGUAUAACCGAACGGAUGAAAAUUAUAAAAGAUGUAAAUCUAACGGCAGAAAACUUGAUAGCACAAUGCUUAGUGCUAUUGAUAGCAUCCUAGCCAGACUCUAAGUAUAUAUAUAUAUAUAUAUAUAUAUGGCUGAGCUGGAAUAUUAUUAGCAGUAAACGAGUUUUAUUGCCAUUCAUUUACUUUCGAUAAUGGAGUCUCGAAAUCGACGAUUGGUACUGUUGAAUAUGAUCUAUACUACUUGAAGUAAAAUCAAAUUUUAGAUCUUUUCGACAUCAUUGACCUAAUGAUCAAAAGGUUUCAAAAUUUAUAAUUUUAAUAAUCGAUAUCAGACGUUUUCUUGAUUAACUGUAUAAAUAUAUUCAAAUCAAUUGAAUUUUGGUUAGAAAAUUCUUUAAAUUAUUUAGAACAAGAUCUAUACUCUCGAUGUUGAUUACAAGAUUCCUGUCGUAAUUUUUUAAAAGAUUUUUAGCCUUUCAUUUUUUGUCCACUUGAUGGACAAGAGAACAAUAUCGGAAAAGUAUGAAAUUUGAUUUCUAAAUACUUCAAGUAGUGCCGAUUGUCGAUUUGGAACCUCUACCAUCGAAAACAAAUAGAUGGUAACGAAGCCUGUUUACUACCGAUAGUAUUUCAGCUCAACUCAUAAUCCGAUUUAUACCACUUGAAACGUCUAGAAGUUAAAUUUCAUACUUUUUUGAU